UACGGCCGUAGAGAGUUGAAACGCCGGCUCUCGUACGAUCACUAAGUUAAGCAACGUCGAGCCUGAUCAGUACCUAGAUGGGUGACCGCUUGGGAAUACGAAAUGUUGCAAG